rnacentral:rRNA from 1 species
AGAGAUAUUGACAACGUUACGGUUUCUUGUUAAACUAUAAAUAUUCAAUUUUGAGUGAAUAAAACUCAAUAGUUAAGUGAUAAUUGCCUAGGAAAUACACCUGUUCUCAUGCCGAACACAGAAGUUAAGCCCUAGAACGCCGGAAGUAGUUGGGGGUUGCCCCCUGUGAAAUAAGGUAGUCGCUUAGCAAAGGGAGUUUAGCUCAGCUGGGAAAGCAUCUGCCUUACAAGCAAAGGGUCAGCGGUUCGAUCC